rnacentral:misc_RNA from 1 species
GUCUACUGCCUCUAUUGCCAUUACAGGGACAAGUAGCCAUAGCUCCAUAAGCAUUCGUUAAGCAAUCGGAGCAAUCCUGAGGAGAUAAGUCAGGAGUACAUUGCACGAGUGCAUAUAUAGUCUGAUCAUUUGGAUCCGUGGCACUACCAGUGGCAUAUUUGCGAAGAGGAUCACCAUUUGCAGCUUCCCCUCGUAAUCUAUCCACUAAUUUCUUGAGCUCCCGGUUAA